AAAUGAAUAGACGGGACCCCGCACAAGUAGCGGAGCAUGUGGUUUAAUUCGAAGCAACGCGAAGAACCUUACCAGGUCUUGACAUCCUCUGACAGCGUUAGAGAUAGCGAAUUCCUUUCGGGGACAGAGAGACAGGUGGUGCAUGGUUGUCGUCAGCUCGUGUCGUGAGAUGUUGGGUUAAGUCCCGCAACGAGCGCAACCCUUGUGUUUAGUUGCCAGCAUGAAAGAUGGGCACUCUAGACAGACCGCCGUAGAUAAUACGGAGGAAGGUGGGGAUGACGUCAAAUCAUCAUGCCCCUUAUGACCUGGGCUACACACGUGCUACAAUGGGAUGAACAGAGGGUAGCGAAGUAGUGAUACGGAGCCAAUCUCAAAAAACAUCUCCCAGUUCGGAUUGCAGGCUGCAACUCGCCUGCAUGAAGUAGGAGUUACUAGUAAUCGCAAAUCAGAAUGUUGCGGUGAAUGCGUUCCCGGGGUUUGUACACACCGCCCGU
rnacentral:rRNA from 1 species